GAUGAACGCUGGCGGCGUGCUUAACACAUGCCAGUCGAACGAAGCACUUUGAAGUUUUCGGACAGAUGAGUGACUGAGUGGCGGACGGGUGAGUAACGCGUGAGUAACCUGCCUCAUACAGGGGGAUAACAGUUAGAAAUGACUGCUAAUACCGCAUAAGCGCACGGUAUCGCAUGAUACCGUUUGAAAAACUCCGGUGGUAUGAGAUGGACCCGCGUCCGAUUAGCUAGUUGGUGGGGUAAUGGCCUACCAAGGCGACGAUCAGUAGCCGGCCUGAGAGGGUGAACGGCCACAUUGAGACUGAGACACGGCCCAAACUCCUACGGGAGGCAACAGUGGGGAAUAUUGCACAAUGGGGGAAACCCUGAUGCAGCGACGCCGCGUGAGUGAAGAAGUAUUUCGGUAUGUAAAGCUCUAUCAGCAGGGAAGAAAAUGACGGUACCUGACUAAGAAGCACCGGCUAAAUACGUGCCAGCAGCCGCCGUAAAAC
rnacentral:rRNA from 1 species